UAUCAUCUGCGAGAAAAGCGAAACGUUGUAUGCACACGCUGGGCAUCUCUCCACCUUCUGCUCUCGUAGCUCUCGCAGCUCUCCCAAUACUCGCAGCCGCACAUACACCUCAUUUAAGAGGCGAACGUCUUCUGCGCAUUCGCGUAUCGUGCGCAUGCGCGUGCUGCUGGCGCACUGGCUGCUUUAAAUCUUCAGCAGCGCACCCUCUUUUCCUCUCUCUCCCUACACUCAUUCGCUCACGCACCCGCCUUCGCAGCUUGUUCGCUCCGCGUCGCUCUGGAGCUCUCCAUUGCUUUCUGUUCAAGCUCUGUGCGAGCACGUCGCGCAGCGAGGCAACCGUGAGCAGUCCAAAGACGAGAGAGAGGGUUUGCUGUUCCCAAGGUCGGCGUCCGUUCUAGGCUGAUUGGUGAUCUUGCACCUUAUUCGACCAGCCCCCUAUUCUUCUCCCCGUGAUGCUGUGUGCUGGCCAGACGCUAUACACCGGCACGGACGCGAAUGUACACACACACACGCACAUAAAGCCAUCUUUUCAGUCUCCUUUUAUCUCUUUUUCCUAUUGUCACUGCCAUCCCUCCCCUCGUCUUCUCCCCACGUGGGGGCCUGUUCCUCACCAGCCUGUCGUUCCUUUCGCGAGUGCUCCUCCUCUCCUCCGUCUAAUUCGCUUCGUGUUCGUCGUCGUGCGCGUGCGCAUGCCCGUGUGCCACGCGCCCGUCGAAUGCGCUCCGCCCCACUCUCCCCCUUUUUUUGUUUGCCUUGCUUGCGCCCUUUUCUUUGCCGUAUAUGGAUUGCUCGUUGCGUUUGUGAGCGCAUUCGAAUAGCAGCCAUCCAAUAACCCACACGCGGAAUCUCCAUCCCUUAACGCACGCUCGACGGCCGACAUCACGCCCCUCGCCUUUCCCUCGCUUCUCCAUCAACCGCACCGCGGUCUAACGAAACUGCACAGCACCGCGUCCUUUUUCCGCUCCCCCCCCUUUGCGCUGGUCUGUGUUCACAAUCUCAGGCAUCUGCGAGGCCGACACGCAUACGUGAAUACACACGGCAAGGGGUCAGCGACGCGAACCGCACGCAAAAUACACGUGCUUCUCGUUGCUGGCGCAGUUGUUCGCUUUUCCUCUCGCAAUCUCCUCCUUAUCUCUAUGUUUCCAUGUCGUGAAUGCAGGUUGACUGAGCCGCCUUGGGGGUGGGGGUGGGGUGCAUGCAUGAGAGAGCUGGUAUGCGUAGAUACGGCGUUAUGGACGCCUCGCCCGCCGCAGCCGCAGGGACCUGCGCCCGUGCCUGUCCGCUUCAAGCCUGUCACCAUGAGCAGGCCGCGCUUCUCGCGCCUGUGUACGGAAGGCCUGGCUGUAGCGCUGCGACUACCCGCAGAGACAGCCUUAGAGGCGGCACUUGCUGAUGUUGAGGAGGCGCUGCAGGAAGUUGCCACUGCCCCUACCUCCUCGUCGCGGAGAAAGAUGCAAGGUGAGAGGCCGAAUGCUCGGCCGGCCCUAUGCUUCGCCGCCUCGAAUGGGCAAGCGCAUUCAGCAGAUGUCCUUCCGCUCACCCACUCGACUGUUGUCUUGGGGUCACCCACAGUGCAAGCCAGCACCUUGGCUGGGCUGCAGCACCGUGACUUGGCGAAACGGUGCACGGUGGAGGCGACUGAGAGCGCGUCUGCUGGACCCCUCUCUUCGCCUGAGUAUGCUGUAGCUGCCCCGGCCGAGACCGUCGCGCAGGGGCUGGAAGCCCAGCCACCGCCCUGCAGCGCAAACCUGCAACCUCCAGCCCCCCGACCUGCACGUUGGAUUUCAAUGGCAAUGUGCGUGGCGACGCCGACCUUCAUUUUUGAUACACAACCGAAUUGCGUUUUGGCGCCCUGGGCAUGUCGGAUCUGCGCAGCGCGGUGAGCGUUGCCCGGCUGCCCGGCGGGAAAGUUCAAACGCGAUUACGAACGCAGUAAAUGUAGAAAAAAAAGCACGAGGUGGCUCGGGGUGAGCACGCGAGGGAGGAGCCGGCCGUCAAGCCGCCAGGCACCCUUGCCGCGCGAAAUCAAGAGCGGAAAAGACGCGUGGGAUAAGUCGUACGCCUCGCCCGAGAAGACGCCGUCACCAACGCCGCCGGCGGUGACACCACCGCCGAUGCCCUCUAAACAGCCGAGUGAACUGUCGCACGUGCCGCUGCUGCUGCGCGACGCCGCGGAGGUGAACGCGACGUGCCCAGCACGUCAGCCCUUACGUUGACGUUUGCGUCGGUCUCUGUUUCUCUCCGGGCCCCAACGCUGCCUCCGCCAGUCGUGGUACCGCACGGUACCAUGAGGCUCCUCAGUGCACCAGUGAGGAUUCUUUGAGCACUCCGCCCGUGCCCACCACUUCCAGCAGCGUCAGCAGCUCCCAUAUGAGCAAGGAGGAUUUCUUGCUCUCAUCAAGCCCACUGGAGAGGCGGCAGCGAUCUCCUCGACACUCGAGUGCGUGUCUUUGCCAAGGCCCGCGUUGUGGCGCAACUGCAACGGACUGGACUCGCCGGCUGAAGGGAUAGGAAGCCAAGAAAAAAAAAAAGAUGGCCAGACUAGUUAAAGCGAAGGAGAAGCGGCCUCGCCACACCUACCGUUCGCUCUAUAUCCCAGAGCCUCGCUUAAACUUCGAACACACGCCGCAGAAAAAGUGCGCACGGCGUUGAUGCAGCGAUGGCGCACAAAGGGCACAGGAAACACAGACAACACGUCUCUCUCUCUCGUUCUCUCAUGGCGUCGCCUCGCUUGCUAUGGGGAAUCUCCCCUGCCUCCUUAUCCUCCCCUUCUUCGCUUUUUCUUUUUUUUUUCGCCGUCUUUUUAAGCGCCUCUGGAGCUCAUCAACUCAGCUGCUUUCUGAGGCGGCUGCUUCCUUGACUGCACGCGCCGCUGUGUGUCUGCACCAUCUGGUUCUGUUGUCAGACCCCGCCCUCUAUCUGUCCCCGUAAAAGCUUCUCUUUCUUUUCUAUCGUCUGCUGUCUCUCAGUCUUUGUAUACACUAAUCCGCACACGCGGCGGUGCCCUCGCAUCUAUCGCCUUCUCCUGUCUUCUGUAGCCUCUUUUUAUGCAUGUCUUUGCCCUGUGCUCUUGCUCUUGCGUGCAUUGCGUGUGCGUCAUCAUCUCUUCCUAGCCUUUGCUUGCUGUUGCUGCUGCUCUCUUCAUCAUCUCCCCCUUUUUUCAUCGUUUCAGCGCCUGCCCGUGCCUGUGUGCAGUGGCUCGAUCUCUGUCGCUGCGCAUGUGUUGGUAGGAGGGCGAAAGAGGUCACGCGUGUCUCCGUUUGAACAGCAGCAGCGACAAGAGGUGGGGGGGGGGUGGCGCAGCGAAUCGGACUGUACACACACACGCGCGGACUCCAGCGUGUCAGCACGCAUGCAUGCUCCUUCUCUUUCGUGAAGAAUGACCCGCGUGGAU
rnacentral:misc_RNA from 1 species